rnacentral:rRNA from 1 species
UGGGCCUACGGGGCGCAGCAGUGGGGAAUAUUGCACAAUGGGGGAAACCCUGAUGCAGCAACGCCGCGUGAGUGAAGAAGGUUUUCGGAUUGUAAAGCUCUGUUAGCAGGGAAGAGGAAGGACGGUACCUGCAGAGGAAGCCACGGCUAACUACGUGCCAGCAGCCGCGGUAAUACGUAGGGGGCAAGCGUUAUCCGGAUUUACUGGGUGUAAAGGGAGCGUAGACGGCGAUGCAAGUCUGAAGUGAAAGGCGGGGGCCCAACCCCCGGACUGCUUUGGAAACUGUAUGGCUGGAGUGCAG